AUUGAACGCUGGCGGCAGGCCUAACACAUGCAAGUCGAACGAGUGGCGGACGGGUGAGUAAUGUCUGGGAAACUGCCUGACGGAGGGGGCUAACUACUGGAAACGGUAGCUAAUACCGCAUACCUUCCGUUCUGCCCACAUGGGUUUAGCUAGUAGGUGGGGUAAAGGGUCACCUAGGCGACGAUCCCUAGCUGGUCUGAGAGGAUGACCAGCCACACGGAGACUGAGACACGGCCCAGACUCCUACGGGAGGCAGCAGUGGGGAAUAUUGCGCAAUGGGCGCAAGCCUGAUGCAGCCAUGCCGCGUGUGUGAAGAAGGCCUUGGGGUUGUAAAGCACUGUCAGCGAGGAGGCGUUACUCGCAGAGAAAGCACCGGCUAACUACGUGCCAGCAGCCGCGGUAAUAC
rnacentral:rRNA from 1 species